UGCAGGUGUGUGUGCGUGCGUGUGUGUCCACACUGCAGGUGUGUGUGCGUGUGCGCUUGCGUGUGUGAGGUUGCCCCGAGACUCAGGGCAGCCCCACUCUAGCCGACCCAGCUCUGCAAUCACAGGCUCCGGCAACCCAAGCUGGCCGACUUUAUAAGGGUAAACAGCGGCGGAUCCGAGCUGAGUUUGCGGGCGCCUCAUCAGCGUGAGUGUCCGGAGCUCGCAGCGCUCCCGUACCCAGGCCGGCCCGUCCCCUCCCUGCCCAGUCCCGCUCGCACUCCGCCCCACGCCCCGACCCUCACCGCCAGCCGAGUGCAGCGCUGCGACCACACCCGCCACGCCCGUUCCACCGACCGCCGCGCCCGUCCCGCCAACCGCCGCGAGACCUGGAGACGGCCACCAGGCCGCGCAGUGCCCUCCCCCGCUUGUUCCCAGGUGCAGCAGGGAGCUGAGAAAGGGCCCGCCGAGAGCACGUGGCGCCUGGCGGCAGAGCCCGGGCCCAGCGUCACGCCGUGGCCCCCAGUCUGCGCACGCCGCACUUCCCACUGUCUUUCCGCUUCCGCCAGAACGCACCCUCCUCUGCUCCCCCUGGAGCCGCAGAACACCCCACGCCUUCCCGCAGCCACUCCGGGACGGCCCUCCGGCCACCCGUGGGGAAGAGCCGGCCCAGGCGCGUGGCCAGCCCUUCCCCGUGAGCCGUGGGCAGGGCCGUGGUCCCCCGGUGGCACUGGCAUCCCAGUGAUCCUCGAGACAGCCCUGGGUGUCUGCUGUUAUUAUUGUCCCGCUCAACUGAGGGGGAAACUGAGGUUCGGAGAGGUCGAGCAACUUGCCCAGGACCCCACAGCUCACGACCUGGGGUCAAGCCCCCGAGCCCUCCCGGGCGGGGCGGCAAAGCCACCUCUCUCCUCCGCGCUCGGUCACAUCGGGGCACUGCAGACGCGGAGACGGCAGGCCCUCGUUUCCCACAGGAGAGCACGAGCAGAACCGAGAGUGGCUUCUCCCGUGGCCCACGGACGGCGGCCUCCGCCCCUUCCCGUCCCCACCGCUGUCCGGGCUGCGUCCCGCCUGGCUGAGAGUAGCGCCCACAAACCCCGAUGCCCCCGGGGGCCGGCGGGCAGUGACAGGGCACGGCUCCGCCAGGGGGAUUCACGGUGAUGUGACGGGCCGUGGCGGGCACCGUGCACAAUGGAGAUCACACGCGCCCGCUCCGCGUGGGCAGCCGCGGCUCUGCUCCUGGCCAGGGCUGCCCCCCGGCCCGCUGUUCGCGAGAAGCCAGGGAUCCAGACUCUUAUGCGGAAUCCCUUCAUUUUUAAACGGCGGAAACUAAUUCCGGUGUUUCCUUAAACACCAUCCACGCCAAACACAACACAUCUGUGCGCAGGGCGGCAUUUCUGCGACAUCCCCUCUUACAGUUUACGGCGGCUAUAAGUGCGGUCCACUUAAAGCAAGUCCAGUUCAGUGUGACAUUAUCCAUUUAGCAUAAAAAUUAUCGAGCGUCUCCCUAAACACUGCGCAAGCCAAACAAAACACGUCUGGUUGCCGGGUCCGGGUGCCGUUUGGUGACGUCCGGAUUUACAGUCUGUAGAGGAUGGACGCUCCGCAGGAACCCUCGGGUCAGCAGAAGACAGGGGCCGGUUGCUGUCACGGCCCAGGGUCCUCGCAGGACUGCCACGCUGUGCGGCCACGGAACGACCCCAGACCCCCGUCCCUCCCGGGAGGCUCAGCAGGAGCUGGACUCCCAGCCCCCACGGCUGAGCACAGACCAGCCAGUGUCCCGUCUCUGCAGCCUGGGGCUUUGGGGUCCCGGUCUAAGUGUGCAGGUCUGAACCCCCACCCCCCAAUGCCAACCAUCC